AUUGAACGCUGGCGGCAGGCCUAACACAUGCAAGUCGAACGAGUGGCGGACGGGUGAGUAAUGUCUGGGAAACUGCCCGAUGGAGGGGGAUCACUUCUGGAAACGGUAGCUAAUACCGCAUAUCAUCGGAUGUGCCCAGAUGGGAUUAGCUAGUAGGUGGGGUAACGGCUCACCUAGGCGACGAUCCCUAACUGGUCUGAGAGGAUGAUCAGCCACACUGGAACUGAGACACGGUCCAGACUCCUACGGGAGGCAGCAGUGGGGAAGAUUGCACAAUGGGCGCAAGCCUGAUGCAGCCAUGCCGCUUGUAUGAAGAAGGCCUUCGGGUUGUAAAGUACUUUAAGCAGGGAGGCGUUACUCGCAGAAGAAGCACCGGCUAACUCCGUGCCAGCAGCCGCGGUAAUUC
rnacentral:rRNA from 1 species